CAAGAAAUCAGUCUGCAUGUUAGUCAGUAUAGGCACAAAUUUUCCAAAUAUUUUCAAUUUAUGGAUGACUGAUGUCAUAGAACCUACUGAUAUGAAGAGCUGAUUGUAUAUAAAAAUUUACCAGUGUACUGUUUUGCUAGGUGGUUAUGAUGUCACUGCAUUCUAAAGACUCAUGAUUAUAUGAACAAACUAGUGCUGGGCUUGGAUUUCAUCAGAGAAGCCUCUUACUGCAACAGGGUAUGGGAAGUGGCCAAAAUGUGAGAGUAAGUGAGAGUGGAGAGCUCAAGCCCUAAGGAGAACACAUAUGUCAUCACUACCAAGUGCAGAGAAUAUGGUAGAGAAGGAGCUGAAAGGUGUAAAGGUCUAGGUGAGAAAUGCGGCGAAAAGCUGCCUUCUGGAUAGGACACAGGUGUGUGCUCGAGACCUCAUUGCAUCUGUGGCUACCUGCACAGGAACUGCACGGGACUGGGCCUGUCAGCACUUGAUCAUGGACUGGGGAAGAACCCAUAAGCCCUCUUCCUCCGACGUGUCUGCUGGCAGAUCAGGUCAUUUUCUUCAGGGUAGAACCACUGAAGUGGCUACACUCCAGGAAACAUAUAUGCUGAAAAACAAAGUCAGAAGAAAUGAGUUCCUAGGCUACCUAUGGGUAAGAGCUUCACUGAGCUAUACCUCCAGCUCUUCAAAUAAACUUGGAAGAGUCUACACAACGAAUACCAAUUUACUGUCCACUUGUACUAUUCUUUAAGAACUUACUGACUGCCUUUUUACCCACACAAGGAUGUAACACACGCAUGCACGCACAUACUCAUGUGCACAAUAUUACGGAACAGAGGAUUGAGCCCAGGAUUUCAUGCAUG